rnacentral:rRNA from 1 species
AAGGUAUGCAAGUCGAACGAUCCCUUUGAAUUACUUGAAACUUCGGUUGAUUGUAUUUCUUUUUGGGAUAGUGGCAAACGGGUGAGUAACACGUGGAUAACCUGCCUUAAAGUCAUGAACAGCUCAUCGAAAGAUGGGAUAAUACAUGAUGGUCUUACAAUUUCUAUCCGACUUUGUAAGUAAAGCUCCGGCGCUUUAAGAGGGGUCCGCGUCCUAUCAGCUUGUUGGUGAGGUAAUAGCUCACCAAGGCUAAGACGGGUAGCUGGCGUGAGAGCGCGGUCAGCCACCAUGGAACUGAGACACGGUCCAUACUCCUACGGGAGGCAGCAAUUAGGAAUCUUGCGCAAUGGGGGCAACCCUGACGCAGCGACACAGCGUGGAGGACGAAGGUCUUCGGAUUGUAAACUCCUUUUAUAUGGGAAGAAUAGAUGACGGUACCAUAUGAAUAAGCACCUGCUAACUACGUGCCAGAAGCAUCGGUGAUACGUAGGGUGCGAACGUUAUCCGGAUUUAUUGGGCGUAUAGAGAUGCGUAGGCGUUUCUGUAAGUCUGAAGUUAAAGCCCACGGCUUAACCGUGGAAAAGCUUUGGAAACUGCAGAAAUUGAGACAGGAAGAGGCGAAUGGAAUUCCCAGUGGAGCGGUGAAAUGCGUUGAUAUUGGGAGGAACAUCAGUGGCGAAGGCGAUUCGCUGGUCCUUGUCUGACGCUGAGGCUCGAAAGCGUGGGUAGCAAAACGGAUUAGAUACCCGUGUAGUCCACGCCGUAAACUAUGGAUGCUAGGUGUUCGGUACAACCGUUUUUUCCUUCGGGAAAAAAUGGAAGUAUUGAGUGCCGCAGCUAACGCGUUAAGCAUCCCGCCUGGGAAGUACGGNCGCAAGGCUAAA